AACGAACGCUGGCGGCAGGCCUAACACAUGCAAGUCGAGCGAGGACUUCGGUCCUAGCGGCGGACGGGUGAGUAACGCGUGGGAACGUGCCCUUUGCUACGGAAUAGCCCCGGGAAACUGGGAGUAAUACCGUAUGUGCCCGAGAGGGGAAAGAUUUAUCGGCAAAGGAUCGGCCCGCGUUGGAUUAGGUAGUUGGUGGGGUAAUGGCCUACCAAGCCGACGAUCCAUAGCUGGUUUGAGAGGAUGAUCAGCCACACUGGGACUGAGACACGGCCCAGACUCCUACGGGAGGCAGCAGUGGGGAAUCUUAGACAAUGGGGGAAACCCUGAUCCAGCCAUGCCGCGUGAGCGAUGAAGGCCUUAGGGUUGUAAAGCUCUUUCAGUGGGGAAGAUAAUGACGGUACCCACAGAAGAAGCCCCGGCUAACUCCGUGCCAGCCGCCGCGGUAA
rnacentral:rRNA from 1 species